rfam:Salmo salar isolate Sally breed double haploid chromosome ssa19, whole genome shotgun sequence.
UGCAUUCACUACUGUAAGUCGCUCUGGAUAAGAGCGUCGGCUAAAUGAUGUAAA